AUUGAACGCUGGCGGCAGGCCUAACACAUGCAAGUCGAACGGUAACAGGAAGCAGCUUGCUGCUUGCUGACGAGUGGCGGACGGGUGAGUAAUGUCUGGGAAACUGCCUGAUGGAGGGGGAUAACUACUGGAAACGGUAGCUAAUACCGCAUAACGUCGCAAGACCAAAGAGGGGGACCUUCGGGCCUCUUGCCAUCAGAUGUGCCCAGAUGGGAUUAGCUUGUUGGUGGGGUAACGGCUCACCAAGGCGACGAUCCCUAGCUGGUCUGAGAGGAUGACCCAGCCACACUGGAACUGAGACACGGUCCAGACUCCUACGGGAGGCAGCAGUGGGGAAUAUUGCACAAUGGGCGCAAGCCUGAUGCAGCCAUGCCGCGUGUAUGAAGAAGGCCUUCGGGUUGUAAAGUACUUUCAGCGGGGAGGAAGGUGUUGUGGUUAAUAACCACAGCAAUUGACGUUACCCGCAGAAGAAGCACCGGCUAACUCCGUGCCAGCCGCUGC
rnacentral:rRNA from 1 species